GUCCUUUCUCAUCAGAAAUUUGCUACAAGAACAUGUUAAAAACACCAAAAAUACAGUUGAACUGUUUUUGUCACAGGUGUGGAAAAGUCAUCACAUAAUUGACCUGAGUUCUCCAACAGCAGGUGGAAUUGAAGCAGCAAAUCAUCUAUCAACCUCAGAAGACCUGGUUGGCGGGGAAUAUUGACAGUCUUGAGGUAACUGCACUUUAUCAGCUUUACUUAACUAGUCUUUAAUCUUAAACCAACAACACAGAGGCUUAUGCUUUAUUUUAAAGCGUAAUUUGACCAAAAAACUUCCUAUAAAACAGGCAUCUUUUUACAUUGUGAAUACAGUAGGGGGCUGAGAGCACUAAAUUAAAUAAAUCCACUCCCUCUACCUGCACUUAAGCCCACUCCACUUGAGCAUUUCCAUUUUCCGGCACUUCACAUCUUAGCCACUCCGCAGCACUCCAAAGGGAAAUGCUGGACUUUUUUUUUUCUGCACAGCACUUUCUGCUACAGAGCCUGUUCAUCCCAUGAAUGGGGCCUGACCGUGCAAAUAAUUCAGGAUUUAAAACUCACUGACAGCAGGAUGAUGUGGUGGGGGGCCAGGUGUUGUUGGCGGCUGCAAGGACUUCUUCGUCACGCACGGCCAUUCCACUUGGAUCUGAUAUGCGCAGCAAUUUCGUUACUUUGAUCAGCUCUGCUUUGGCCUGCCAGUCUGAAGCAAUGACAACUUCAGCUCUGAGGACGUAAACAGGUGCUAACAACAUAGAGGUGAGAGCAGAAGCCUCUGAAAGCUCACUCGGGGAAGCGCACAGGCACGCAUGUGAAACUACAGGCCUUGUUUGCAGGAAGCAAGGACAGCUUGUCACACGCAAAGCUCGAAGCACUGUUGCACUACAGAAGCUCAAUCUGGCCACUUCCUACAUGUAUCACUACAAUGAUGACAUGCUCUAGAAAAGUCUGCAUUCAACUCAGAAAAUAUCAAGUUUUUCUUACAUAUUUGAAAGAAAUGCAUGGCUUUUUGGAGCAAAUCAAACAUAAAUGCAUAAAUUCUCUUUCAAAAAAUUGUUGAUCAAAUCUGUGAAAAAAUUCAGUCAAGUUUACUGCCCCCUGGUGGCUACAUUUUGUAUUACACUACCAGUGUUCAACCACUCCAGUGAAAACAGCAUUUUUUAACAUGUUUUUGUGGCAAUGUGACAUAAAGAAAAUUAUGC